AUUGAACGCUGGCGGCAUGCCUUACACAUGCAAGUCGAACGGUAACGGGCCUUCGGGUGCCGACGAGUGGCGAACGGGUGAGUAAUGCAUCGGAACGUACCUUUCAGUGGGGGAUAACGUAGCGAAAGUUACGCUAAUACCGCAUAUUCUGUGAGCAGGAAAGCAGGGGAUCGCAAGACCUUGCGCUGAUUGAGCGGCCGAUGUCAGAUUAGCUAGUUGGUGAGGUAAAGGCUCACCAAGGCGACGAUCUGUAGCGGGUCUGAGAGGAUGAUCCGCCACACUGGAACUGAGACACGGUCCAGACUCCUACGGGAGGCAGCAGUGGGGAAUUUUGGACAAUGGGGGCAACCCUGAUCCAGCCAUGCCGCGUGAGUGAAGAAGGCCUGGUUGUAAG
rnacentral:rRNA from 1 species